rnacentral:rRNA from 1 species
UGCAGUCGAACGAUGAUCUGGAGCUUGCUCCAGGGAUUAGUGGCGAACGGGUGAGUAACACGUGAGUAACCUGCCCUUGACUCUGGGAUAAGCGUUGGAAACGACGUCUAAUACCGGAUAUGACCCCUGCUGGCAUCGGCUGGGGGUGGAAAGAUUUUUUGGUCAAGGAUGGACUCGCGGCCUAUCAGGUAGUUGGUGAGGUAAUGGCUCACCAAGCCGACGACGGGUAGCCGGCCUGAGAGGGUGACCGGCCACACUGGGACUGAGACACGGCCCAGACUCCUACGGGAGGCAGCAGUGGGGAAUAUUGCACAAUGGGCGAAAGCCUGAUGCAGCAACGCCGCGUGAGGGAUGACGGCCUUCGGGUUGUAAACCUCUUUUAGUAGGGAAGAAGGGAGCUUGCUCUUGACGGUACCUGCAGAAAAAGCACCGGCUAACUACGUGCCAGCAGCCGCGGUAAUACGUAGGGUGCAAGCGUUGUCCGGAAUUAUUGGGCGUAAAGAGCUCGUAGGCGGUUUGUCGCGUCUGCUGUGAAAUCUGGGGGCUCAACCCCCAGCCUGCAGUGGGUACGGGCAGACUAGAGUGCGGUAGGGGAGAUUGGAAUUCCUGGUGUAGCGGUGGAAUGCGCAGAUAUCAGGAGGAACACCGAUGGCGAAGGCAGAUCUCUGGGCCGUUACUGACGCUGAGGAGCGAAAGCAUGGGGAGCGAACAGGAUUAGAUACCCUGGUAGUCCAUGCCGUAAACGUUGGGAACUAGAUGUAGGGGCCAUUCCACGGUUUCUGUGUCGCAGCUAACGCAUUAAGUUCCCCGCCUGGAGAGUACGGCCGCAAGGCUAAAACUCAGAGGAAUUGACGGGCGCCCGCACAAGCGGCGGAGCAUGCGGAUUAAUUCGAUGCAACGCGAAGAACCUUACCAAGGCUUGACAUAUACCGGAAACGUCCAGAG